UUUUUUUUUUUUUUUGCCUUUUUAUGGCUGCACCUGCAGCAUAUGGAAGUUUCCAGGCUAGGGGUCCAAUCAGAGCUGUAGCUGCCGGCCUACGCAACAGACACAGCAAUGCCAUAUCUGAGACUUACACCACAGCUCGCAGCAACUCUGGAUCCCUGAACCACUGAGCAAGGCCAGGAAUCGAACCUGCAUCCUUAUGGAUUCUAGUCGGAUUUGUUUCUGCUGUGCCACAACAGGAACUCCCUUGAGCAUAUAUUCUUAAUAUGUAAGUUCCAGCACAUGAUAUUUAUCUUAAAAAUAGAACUAUUAGUGGACAAUUUUGAGAGCUUUAUAAUUUAGAAAGCACUAUAUCAUAUGCAUUGAUUUCUUUGAUCCCUAUCACAGGGAAGACAGAAGAUUUUAUAAUCAUUUUCUGAAACCAAAGCUCAGAGUUUGGGACCUCUUCAAAUUGUUAUGGCCAAGACAAGAAGCCAGCUUCUAAUUCUGCUAUGUUUUCCUUGUCCCCACCCUGGCCCCACUAUAUCACAUUGCAUUUCAAAGAGCUGUUUUGUCUUUUAUGCGUUAGAAACAUAUAUUUUAUCUAUGUUUUUUGACUCAAUUACCCAUCCUUUGACACAUUUAUAACCUUGGAGAUAUUAAGCCAGAAUAUCUUUUGAUUUUCUCUCCUCCUUUGCCUGUUAAGUUUGUUUUUUUUUUUUGCUAAUAAAAAUUCAUUAGGAAAUUCAUUCAACCAGAAUGUAUGCAGUGCUUCUAACCUGCAGAACCCUAGGCUGCUCGCCGUCAGAGGUGGGAGAUUUCAAUAGAAAGAAAUACAUGCUUGUGAAGGGCCUGCAGGUCACCAGUAAGGAUUCUGGCACCAGGCCCUGUGCUGACAACCACUGGGCUAUAUCCGUUUGUCCAUGUGUAAAAUGAGAAUCAGCUCUUUCACAAAUAUGAGCAUGGCAGUAAAUAUGAAAAUAGAACAGGUUUUAUGGCACACACCAAAUAAAGUUUAGAAUUAAAGGGCACUACUCUUUCUUUGCAUUCUAUCCAAGCCCUUAGCAGUGUUGUUGAAUUUUAGACAAUAGGAAGAGUUCUUUGCAGACCAAUAUAACCAAAUGAAAGCUAAAAACAUAAAGAGCCUGUCCCAGUUCUUGACAGGAAACAUGCUUCUCGGCCCUGAUUUGCACACCUGGGCAGCAGAGUAAUGUCCACAGAUGUUGCUUCCACUAUGCCCAGGUGGGUUUCCAUGUACAUGAAAACUACACUGACUCAGAAAAUAAGGCAUACUUGAGCCAUAAUAAAAUUUCUAUCUGUUUGCUCACUCCAUUUUAGACACAGUUAUUUGGCAAUUGGACACAUGACAAAAACUUUCAAUUUACAUUUAAACCCUAUGUGGGUUACUUUUUCUAAUUCUUUAAGACUCUGAUCCAGACCCAAACCCACAUCACUUCUCUAUAAAAGGAACCAAAAAUCAUCCAGAAGAGUACUCUCCCUCUCCCUCCAACUCCCUCCAUUUCCCAACUCUGUCCUUUGUCAGUUACCUACCCCUUUUUGUUGGAAUAAUGCCAAUGACUAAUACUUUCUGAGCUCUUACUGGGAGUCAGGAAUUUUCUAUUAGUUCUCAGCCAUACUGGGAAUUCAAAGAUGCAUGAUUUCUAUCCUACUUUUGUCCAUGAAGAAACUGAGGCAGCAGCAGCUUGACAACUUAUCCACUGUGAUACACUAGUAAGAAGAUACAAUUGGAGGCAAUGUCUAGCUCCAAGGCCCAAAAUUUUGACCCCUCUGUUGAAACACCUGAGCUACAUACUCCAUAUUUCCAUAAGAAGCUCUCCCUAAAGAAAAUUUAAAAAAAUGUUAUUUCAUAAAUUUUUAACUGAAAGAGUAGAAUCAGUGCAGAAUGGACUCCAUUUUCUGUAGAACUAGAUCAAGAGUAUGAUUCCCUGGUCCAUGACAGCCAGUACCCCCUGAGCAGUGGUAUACAACAUGCCGUGUCAGCAGGUGUAACUUCUCACUGUUUUAACCUAUAUAAAAAGGAGGCAAUAUCAUCCUCAUUUUCCAGAUGAGAAACCUAAAGCAUAGAAAGGUAAAAUGAGUUUUUCCAAUGUCAUUCAGCUAAAAGGGGGCCAAAUCUUAACUAUCGCACUACCCUGCCUCUCUAGCAAUUUAUUUCACAUCAGUGAAAAAUCCCAAGACACACAUAAAGAAAGCCUUGCCUUAUGAUGAAAAAUAAAAUGAGUACACAAAUGCACAUGCCUAAAUCCUCUAAUUCCAAAACUUAUGCAAUCCCUUGAAUCCUCCAAUUCAAAAAAUUAUGCCAUUUUUCAUGCCCUUAAAUACCCAUUUUUAUGCCAUUCUAGACCUCUGACCACAAACACUUCUUUACCUUAGUGUGGUAGUUCUCAGAAAAUGACAGCUGAAUUCAUUUUGACUGAUCUGUUAGUUGCCUUUCUGUGGGGAGAGGACAGAGUGAAACUGUGCAAGAUACGUUUUCACUGAGAAAAAUUUUAAGGUUUCUCUUGAGCUUUUUCUUUUGGUAUUGGACAACUAUUGCUUCUCUAGCCAUGAAGAAUCGAUAGCACCCAAUGCUGGCCAGUCUCUGUGGGCUGGGCCAAGCCUCAAGGUCAAGCUAAGGUAAAACACCCCAUCCAACAAAUAGGUUUUAUGUGUGCUUCCUCUUCUCUUUCCUCCCAAAUCCCUUCAUUGCCCUCAGCUCCCCAGCUUGCUCCCCUGGAUGUCAAAUUUACUAGGUAGGGCAAAGAGAGGUGUCUCCAUGGUGGUAGAGUUGCCUGGUAAGGAGAGAGAAAGAGGUCAAAAGAGCCCUUUUUAUUUCUCCUUCAGAAACAGAAGCCCAUCUUUAUGCCCAUCUGCCUGUCAGAUGCCGAGCAAGUUUUUCGCCUAGGGCAGGACUUCUCAAGAAGGUGUCAGCUGAAUGAGCCAGGGAGGGGGUUGCAUUAAUACACAAGGAGACCAGUAGACUGAGGAAGCUUGAAAGCCAUGGCUGCCUCCUAUGGAAGCAAACCCAAAUCUAAGCCUCUAAAGGCCUCAUGGCUGCAAGGUCCAAGCUCCAAGGACAACCAAUCACAAACAGUCAACUAGGUUUUAAGCAGUUGCCAAUCAAUAAUCUCCUAUUUCCAAUUUUCUCUGUAAAGUCUUUCCCCUUGGCUCCUGUUGGCAAAACACUUAAAAAAAAGUUUCUUUUAAUUAAUUAAUUGUUUUUAGCCACACCUGUAGCAUGUGUAAGUUCCCAGGGCAGAGAUCAAACCUAGCCACAGCAGUAAUCAGAGCCUCAGGAGGGACAAUACCUGGGUCCCUAAUCGCUAGGCCACCAUGGACAUCUAGAAGAACACCUUUAAUCGUAUCCAGUUUGGUGCUGCCCUGUCAAUUCGAUUUUUGUUUAAAUAAACUCAGAACAUUUUUAAUAAGCCUCAGCUUACCUUUUAUCAGUGUGCAUGUGUUAAAAAUCUAGACUCCAGAGCAUCAUCACAGCUGUAUUGGAAUCAGAAUGGGGGUGUGCAUGCAGAGUGGGGUUACAGCGUAAGUGGGGCACAGCCAUCUAACUUUGUUAUAAGCUCUCCCAGGCAAUUCAGAUGCACUUGAAAGUUUUAGAACUUCUAGCCUAGACCAGAGAAAGGGAAGAGAUGGGCCAGUAAGUGGUCACAUUUGAAGGGAAAUAAAACGACACCUUGAGCUCAAAGUUGAGAAAUAUUCCUAGAAAGUUAUGCUACUAAGAGGCUCUGAACCCCAUGGAUCCUACUAUUCCCCCAAAUAAAACACCCAUCUCUCAUCCAAGAGACUCCAUUCCAUCCAUUAGCAGCUCUGCUCUGAUAGAAGGGUGGCCCCAGGCCAUGGCCUUCUGAUUGACAACAAAAACAGACAGUGCUUAACCACCCAGUCUUUUCCAUCUUUCCAAUAGGCAGACGGGUUUCUGGUACACUCAGAUCACUGAAUGUUUUUUGGCACAGAACUGGUGCUAUAUUUGGUGAUUGCCAUUUACAAUAUAUUACAAUUACUGUAAUUGUACUAUUACAAUUACAAUUACUGAAUUUUAUAAAUACAUUUGGACCCAUGCAUGUUUUCCACAACAGGGGUCAUAAAAUCACAGUCAGUGGGUCAAAUCCAGCAUUGCUUUUAUAAAGUUUAUUGCACCACGAUCAUGUUCAUUCACUUUCAUAUUGUACAUGGCUGUUUUCACACUAUAAUAGUAAAGUAGAUGCAAUGGAGACUCUAUGACCCAUAAAGCCAAAAAUAUUUACUGUCUGAUCCUUUACAGAAAAUGUCAACAUCUGGUGUAAACACUAUAUUAUAGACUAUCGAUAUCUACUACUCCUAGGCCAGUCACUCUACUAGACCCCUUUUAUAAAUGAUUUUUAAUGGCAUAAAUAACUUUGCUUAUUAAUAGUAUGAUCACCACAUUUCAGUUGAGGAAAGUCUUCAAGAAGUCAGAUGUGUCUAAAAUAGAUUGCCAGUUUCGUAGCCAGAAUUCAAACACUGCUUUGUUGUGUUUUUUUCCUGACUCCAGAUCUAUUAUGAGCUAUUUUAAGGAUACAAUCACCAGGUUAUACUAUUUAGUGGGAAAAAUAGCUCUUAGGGGCAAACCAUGGACCAAAAAUGAGCUCUUAAAAGCAGCCCAGAAGUUCCCGUUGUGGCUCAGUAAGUUAAGGACCAUAUACUAUAUGUGAGGAUGUGGUUUUGAUCCCUGGCCUCACUCAGUGGAAGUAUCCGGCAUAGGUGGCACAGGUUGCAGCUGUGUCUUGGGUCUGGUGUUGCCAUGGCUAUGGUGUAGGCCUGCAGCUGCAGUUCAGAUUUGACCCCUAGCCUGGGGAACUUCCAUACCCCACAGAUGUAGCUG
rnacentral:lncRNA from 1 species